AUUAUUUUUGCCUCUAAUUUUUUUUCUUUGCAGUUUCCAAAUGUGCCAGACACAAACAAUGUUCUCAAUACAUAUGACUGUUUCCAGCAAGCUGAAGAGACUGCAUGUUUAAAAGGGAAAACAGAAAGUGAUUUCUUGAUAGAACAUGAGAAAUUACAGGGAGAUUUCCCAAAGAAGGAGGAGUGGUUGACAGAGCUAGAAUUUCCAAACCAAGAGGUCACUGAUGUACAUGAGACUCUCCAAAGAACUGAGUGUCCACCUAAAAGGUCUUCAAGAGGUAGACCACCAAGAAGAAGAAGUAGCAGUACUGUGAAUAUUCCUCCUGUUGAAAAGUCUCAUUUUGAAAUGACUGGAGACAAUCUUCAGUUUUCUUCUUUUGAUGUUGAAGAAGUUUUAUCUGCUCCACAGCUAAAAAGUAACUCCUUAAAAAAGCCUUUGAGAAGAAAGUCAAGUCUGAGCAGUGAAACAAGUCGGGUGAGACGCAGCAUGAGACUACAGAAAGAUACAGAAACGGAAGGACUUGCAUGGAUUGAAGUAACCAAUGAGAUUCUGCAGAACCCUUCUCUGCUAGCUCCUGCUUGUAAAACCAGGAGAAGAAUAAGCACAUCUGUCCUUACAGAAUCUGAGAAUAUUCACCAUCGAGAAGAAAAUCUCAUCCAAUUUGCAGCAUCAGGAAAGGAGAACAGUGAAUCUGUUCAUGUUGCUGGUGGUCCUUGCAGAAGGAGGAGGAAAAGCAUUUGUGUAUCCACACCUCAAGAAACAAGAACUUGGUCUCAAACCAGGAAAAGGAGCAUAACAAAUUCUGUACGUAGGAGAGACAGCAGUAGCCAAGAAUACUGUGAAGAAAUGAACAUACCUCUUCAAAAUAACACUACUACGUAGUGAGGUUUCAGCUACCUCUCAUUUUCUUAAGUGAAGACAUCAUCAGCUUUUCCCGAGACAAGAACUCCGAAGGCAACUUGAAAGAAACUUCACUAAUUAAAUGCUGUUCAUCCUGUACUUCUAUAGAAACAUUACUGAAGUUGUCAGAACAGUCUCCCUAAUGUUUUAUUUCGGGCUUUGGGUUUGUGCCGCAGUGCAAUUUUUAGGCUUGGAAUCGAGAUGGCAACAGUUACUGGGGUUGUUUUGCUGUGAUAGCAGGAUUUUGGCUUACCAGGAGAGGGCACUCUGACAUGAGUUUUGUGGUCAUAGCUGAAUUAUUUUGAAACUGUAAUGUAUAAAGUCUUUGAACAGAUGCUGUGUGACAUCAAAACUAAGUAAUAAUAACUGCUACCAUUUAAUGUUCAGAAAAAUCAAAAUAACAACUAAACUAAGCACUGAAAUUAGUCAAAUUAGUCACUUCACCAGAGAAGUGAAACACUUAAGCACUGUAUUCAGAUAUGACUUUACAUGUGGAAAUCAUAUAGCACUUUAAAAUACAGCAUUGCUCUCUAGAGCUGCAGCAGAGAUGUUAAGGUGUACCUGUUAAAUCACGCAGCAAGGCAAACCUUUUGAGGCUGUGGAUGUCAGAGAUUGAAGUUCUGCCUUAAACAGGUCAAGCAUUGAAAUAUCCUGGAGGGAGAGGCAGUAAAUUAGCACGGAUGAUACUAGAGGGCUUAAUCUGCCUAGAACCUGCUUUUUGUGGUGCUGCUGUCCUAUGCAUCACUCACAGCAGCAGUGGAAGAGUAUUCUCCCCUGAGGUUCCUUGGGUGGAUGUGUUAAGUGCACUUCAGAUGUGAAGUGUAAAUAAAAUCAGAAGUAGAAGAGCCAGGGUAAGGAGAAUUAAAACAAAGCUGGGCUUUGCCUCCUGGCACAACGUGGUAAAUAAAGAGUUGGAUCCCACGUACUCACUGGCAGUUUGCCUUACAUCAAGGUGAGGUUGGAACCUGCAGAAAAUAACAGGUUACAGUAACUGGGUUUAAUAUGCAGAGGACUUGAGAGGAGGCAAGUCUUCAGUUAUGCGGAAGCUUGGUGGAGGUUACUGGUUGGUUCUUUGUAACUACCAAAUGGUACAAUAAAUGUUUUUAAAUUAGGAAGAAAAAAAAUAUGUCUGGUUAAGCAGCAAGAGGAAGCUCCAGCACCAGAGAUAGCAGAUUGCCUUGGGAAGCUGUGGAAUCUCUAUCACUGGAGGCUUUCAAGAACAGUUUAAACAAAUAUCUGUCUGAAAUGACAUACGAUAUUUUCUUGGGGUAAGGAUGGGGCCUGGACAGGCUCUCAAGAUCCCUUCUGGCUGUGUUUGCUGAUUGCUAGAGAUUAGGGUUACAAAGUGAAUUGAGAUUGGCUAAUAGAGAAGGUCUGAGCUAGAAUCUGUCAUGGAAUAGGGAGUAGGAGAUUACUAACGUUGAGGGCUGUGUAGCAAGGGAACUAACUGGGGAAUUGGGGAAGAGCCCUUCAAGUAAGGCUAGUGAGAUGGUCCUAGUAUUUUAAACAUUCAGCUCUCAUGUGAUUUGCUCUUCUGAACAAACCAUCUCUACAGACCCCAGCAAUUGUGGAACCUAUGAUUUGAUGGCUGUGCUGUUACACAGAAAUGUGAACCACGGAGUGCUGUUGUCUGAGUUACCAUUAGUCUUUGAAGGACCAACAACUUCACAAUCUUAUCCAGCGAACAGAAGUACUUCCCAAGUUGGUCUCUUGCCUUUAUUUCUGAGUAAGGGUAUAGCAAUUUAAUUGUAGGUAUAUUGUGUGCAGAUUCAAGAUAUUUUAAGUGUGUAGUUCUAGUUCUCAGCUAUUCCAGCACUAUAAUGAAAUCUUUGGUGUUGGACAGUCUCCUUCAGCUCUCAUUUGUUCUCCCCGUUCUUCCAAAAGGAGACUUCUUUCUCUUAAGAGAAGGUUGUUAUAAAAGGCUGUUUUGUAUUUCAAAGUAUUCACCAACGUUGCAUUUUGGGUUGCAUAGACAUGAAAUGGCUUCAAGUGUACAUUGCCAAGGAACUGUAUUCAGCUGAUUGCCAUGAAACAAUCAUGGUCUGAUUAACAGAACAAGUGGUGAGUCCUAGAAAGGCUGAUUAUCUUGCCAGUCCAAUGUAAUUAUGAUGUAACUAAUAAGUAAGAGUAAUCAUAUUGCUUUUGCUUACUCUGUCCUAUGAAGCACAGUCUUCAUGUGUUUGUAGAUAGUCAGCUGACUAUGCAGAAGCUAGCAAAAAGUACAUCACACUUGGGAUGGUCUUUUCCUAAAUUUGCAUCAUGUUAGUGAGUUGAGAAUGCAAAGAACAGUAAUAUGUGUUUUCAUAGAGUCAUUUGAGUUAAAAGGGACCCCUAAAGGUCAUCGAAUCCAACUGCCCUGCAGUGCGCAGGGACACCUGCAGCUCCAUCAGUGCUCAGAGCCCAUCCCCUGUCCUUGGGUGUCCAGGGAUGGGGCAUCCACCACUUCUGUGAGCAGCCCGUGCCAGUGCCUCACUGCCCGCAUUUUAAAAACUUCCUUGUAUCCAUUCCAAAUCUUCCCUCUUUUAGUUUGAAACCAUUUCCCCUUGCUGUGUCACUGCAAACCCUGCAGUCUGUCCCCUUCGUUCUCACAGCCCCUUUGGAUACUGGAAGGCUGCUAUCAGCUCUCCCCAGAGCCUUCUCUGCUCCAUGCUGCACAGCCCCAGCUCUCAGCCUGUCCUUGCAGGGGAGGUGUUCCAUCUCGUCCUUCAGAAAACUUCAAAAUGAAAGAGCAGGAUCAUUAUAUUAUUCUUUCCUUAUUUUAUGCUAAUAUUUUGCCGUACUUAAGAAUCAGUUACAAAAGUGGAGACUAUAUUUUCAAGUUUUCUCACGUGUGAUUUAACAGAAUUAAAACAACUUUCUCAACUUGGUAGUUACUACAGGCAGGGAAAGUAAACAAUGAGAACAACUUGUGCUAUUUUUCUGAUUUACUGAUAAGCUGUAUUUUAAAAUAAUUGUAAAUAAACCUUCAUGGCUUUGGUUUAUUUUUCUCUCCUUGCUUCUGACCAACUUGAUAAAGUGGAUAUUGAAGCACCUCCGUGCUGGAUAUAAAUGCUGCUAUUUUAUAGUCA